rnacentral:lncRNA from 1 species
UUUUUAUUGGCCAAAAAAUAUGUAAAUAUACUACUACUACUUAUUGGAUGUGUCGAACCAUACAUACCCCUCUUAAUUAGCAUAGAACUUAUGUCAGAUAAUGUAGGGGUGUCCACAGGGACUGACGUCCGGCCACCACCACCACCACUCAGCAGAAGCUGCAAUUAAAGACCUCUAAAUUGAUUAUUGUACGACGGUCAGGUCAGUCCUUGGCCUCUCCGUGGGUUUUCCACAUACCCAAGCUCUAUAAUCUUGAGCUUGAUUUUUUUUUCUUUUCGGUUUGGUGCAGAGGGCACUGGAUUUCUCUUUCCCACAGAAACCUCCUUUUGGAAGUACAAAGUACAAACAGAAAUUUCCUGCUUUGACGCUUACAUUAUUAUCAUGUUUAUCUUUGUAAGUACAUGCAUUACUAUCAUUACCUAUUUAAAUCUUAAUUUGGUUGAUUGGUAUCAUGCUUAAAAUCUUUUAAUUUAAGGUUGGGAAAAGUUUAUUAUCAAUACCUAAAAAGUUAAAAUGAGUUAAAUUUUGAUAUAAGUUUGGAUCCAUUAAUAAAUUCUUUAAAAAAUUAUAUCAGUGGGGGUUUACUACUUCUAUACCCCAUCCCCUCCCCAUCCCCAUCCCCCAUCUUCAACAUCAAUUCAUUAACCAGAACAUCUGAGAUGAGAAAGUAUUGCUUUAUCACCUAUCAUGUUCAGGCUUUUGUUUUUUGUUUUCUGUUUUUUGUUUUUUUGUUUUUUAAUUUCCAAUGAGUAUGUUGAAAUGCUGUCGUUUUCAAAAUUUUGCAUGCAGGAGUAAUAUAAGUUUGGGAUCAAAUUAGAAAUGGGUCCAACUCAGGUUUUGUACUAUUAAUCCAACCCUAACAUCACAUGUCAUGUCUUGCUAUGACUAGGACAAACCCACAUUUCAAAACAGUGCUGUUAGGUGUCAAUCAGCACUCACACUGGACCAUGCAAUAUACCCACUUUUAUUUGUUUAUAUCCAUGCCAUUUUCCAACACAGAAACGAAAAGCCAAAGUAACACAAAAUACAACCAUGAAAAUUAUAGUAACAAUUACAAACAUUGUUUUGCUGCUAGCAAAAAAAAUGCAAUUGCAAAACAUAACCUGCAUGAACUUACACAAUGUUGAUUGAAUAUAGGAUGCAAAUACUCUCAAAUUUUAAACUUUUCUUUUCUACAUUAAAAGGACUAUAUUUCCAUAUCCAUAAGGAAUAAUGGCAUAGGGUUCUUCCUUUUGCUCUGCUCUACACAGGCCAACAAGAGCUUUGACAUGUCUAUCAAAUAUACGGUACUAUAUGUUAUAAAAGCUUACAAUAGUACAGAAAUAGAUUCUUCUUCUUCAUUGUUCAUCCAUAUCAAGAAGGAGAUGUCCAAAGCUCUGCAUUUUUAACCUUUGAAACACUCUCAAGCACUUCAAAAGGGAUUAUAUCACCAAUAACAACUACCCUUUUGUUUUCCAGGUCUACUUUGUAUGAGGUCACUCCUGUUUUUUCAUGGUACAGCUAGGAAUUACAUUACAGUAAUGAUAAUGUAUAAUAACAAAACAAAACCAAAAGGAACCUAAUUAGCUCUCUCCCAGCUAAACAUACUUUAAAAUGAUGGAAAAAAGAUAAAAAAAGGGUCGAUAAAUAAAAUGGAGAUAUCAGAAGAGAUUGCUUACCAUCCAUCUUUGAAAUGUGUUUUUCAACUUUUCUUGCACAUCCAUGGCAAUGCAUGGAUACCCUUAGUACCACCAUCUACAAGGUCAAAUCAAUCAAAGUAGCUUGUUAGCUAUUCAAGCUUUUCAUUCACUAUAUGUUCUUCUUUCAGAAAAUAAAGCAAACAUUUAGAGAUAUAAAUAUAUAUAUAUGCACAUUACCUUAGGCUUAAGCUGAAAGGCCAAGGUCUGAUUGCCAGCCACAACAUCUUUCAAUCUCAACAACUGGGUUUUUUCAGAUGUUACCAAUGGGGUUUUUUCAAACUCAUCAUCAUCCAAUGUGUUCAUACAGAAACAAGAACAAGAGCCUGAAGACAAAUAUAAACAAUCCAACAUCUUGCUAAAACUAAGUUUCCCCAUUGCUCCCAGAUGUUCUAACACAACAAAGACACUCACUUAGGGAACUUAAACAUGGUUAUACAUAAGCAAACUGUCUAUCUUAUAGGAACAAAAUCAAUCAAAAGAAACUAUGUUCACAAUCCCCAACACUAUAUAAUAUACAUGUAAGAGAGACAGAGAAGGAAGCUAAAGGUCAAAUUUUUCUUGGGAAAAACAAAAGCUAGACAGAACCUAAUGAAGCUAUUGAAGAAGAAAAGAACCUUCAAGUACCAAUUUUUUUGUUGAGUUAUAGCACUAGUCAAAAAGGUUCUCAAAAAGGGUACUCUUUAUCUUUAAUCACCACAAGCAGCAUUUCCAUGUGGUGGUGAGCUACUAAUAAAGACAACAAUAAACAUACACCUUAAAAAAAUUUACAUACACUACACCAUAAAGAUUGAGUGGGAUGAAAAGAAAAGGGAAUGUUCAUGUGAGAUUUGCAGUUGGUUUUUGAAAGUGAGAGUUGGUUUCACUCUUUCAUUUGAACUAUUGCUUUUUUAUCGUGAAAGAAACUUUAAAAACACACUGAAAGAAGAUACAGUUUCACAUGAUAUAAAAAAGGAUAGAGAAAAGCUAUAUAAAAUAUGGGUCAUAGUCACCAGCUCAAGAAAAUUGCUAAGAUCAAUCUAAACCAGGCAUGGCAUGUGGAUGGUAGCUAAGAAGUAUAUAUACAGGAAGAAAAUUUUAUAACCAAAAGAUUGGAUAAUAUAAGCAACUUUAGUAGUGUACAUAAGUACAUUUGCUAGAUGAUCAUGACACAUUACCUUCAGCAUUAUUUGAAGAAUAUGCUAGAUAUCUAAUCAAGUUUUUCUAUUCAUUACUUCAUAUUACUUCACUACCUUUCUUAUACAUGUAGAGAGAGAGAUUAAGGGUGAGAUUGAUUAGAUUAAACCAUGAAACAAGUUUAAUUAAUUCCAUCAAAGUACUGUUCAUGUUGAAGAUAUAAUAUGAGAUGGGAUAGAUGUAAUAAUUCAAAAGCAGUGAAUGAGUUUGAAGUUGUUGGCAAGCUUGUCUUGAUCUUCAUUCUUUCAAUAUUAAUAUAGAGAAGAUGGGGACAAGUGGCAUUGAAUUAUUGCUGCCCCCCUGAGCUCAGAAGAGAAUAGAAUUAUUGGAUGAUUGAAUAUUUCAAUAUAUAUUUUAAAUUUUCUACAAGAUUAAUGGGAGGCUUCUCUAACAGGUUGGUCCAUGUGAUGAUGACUCCUUUUAGUGGGAGGAAAGGGACGAAUUAUUUAAAAAUAUUAUAAAAUUAAAAAAUAUUUGAGUGGUGAAGUCAUACUCAUGUUUGUUAGUCUCACAUGACCUUUGGCAUGCAAUAAACCAAAGCUGGAUUUACCAAAUUUUCAUGUGGAGGCAUUCAACAAAUGAGGGUGGCAACCAGCAAAUUGGAGUAAUCCAUUUCCUUGGCUAAUAGCCGAAGCUAAAGGGCAAGAAUCGCCUCUUGGUUCUUUUAUGCCAAACAUUCCUAUUUAAUGUUAUAUUUCCUUCAUGCUCCAACAACAAC